AGUAACGGCGAGUGAAGCGGCAACAGCUCAAAUUUGAAAUCUGGCUUCGGCCCGAGUUGUAAUUUGCAGAGGAUGUUUCUGGCGCGGUGCCUUCCGAGUUCCCUGGAACGGGACGCCACAGAGGGUGAGAGCCCCGUAUGGUCGGACACCAAGCCUGUGUGAAACUCCUUCAACGAGUCGAGUAGUUUGGGAAUGCUGCUCUAAAUGGGAGGUAAAUCUCUUCUAAAGCUAAAUACCGGCCAGAGACCGAUAGCGCACAAGUAGAGUGAUCGAAAGAUGAAAAGCACCUUGAAAAGGGGGUUAAAUAGUACGUGAAAUUGUUGAAAGGGAAGCACUUAUGACCAGACUUGGGCCGGGCGGCUCAUCAGGGGUUCUCCCCUGUGCACUCCGCCCGGCACAGGCCAGCAUCGGUUUUCGCGGGGGGAUAAGACCGACGGGAACGUAGCACCCUCCGGGGUGUGUUAUAGCCCGGCGGACGAUACCCUCGCGGGGACCGAGGUCCGCGCUCCGCAAGGAUGCUGGCGUAAUGGUCAUCAGUGACCCGUCUUGAAACACGGACCAAGGAGUCGUCCAUUAGAGCGAGCGUUUGGGUGUAAAACCCGCACGCGUAAUGAAAGUGAACGCAGGUGAGAGCUUCGGCGCAUCAUCGACCGAUCCUGAUGUUCUCGGAAGGAUUUGAGUAAGAGUUUUAACGGACGGACCCGAAAGACAGUGAACUAUGCUUGUAUAGGGUGAAGCCAGAGGAAACUCUGGUGGAGGCUCGCAGCGGUUCUGACGUGCAGAUCGAUCGUCAAAUAUGAGCAUGGGGGCGAAAGACUAAUCGAACUGUCUAGUAGCUGGUUACCGGCCGAAGUUUCCCUCAGGAUAGCAGUGUUGAUCUUCAGUUUUAUGAGGUAAAGCGAAUGAUUAGGGACUCGGGGGCGCUAUAUUGCCUUCAUCCAUUCUCAAACUUUAAAUAUGUAAUAAGCCCUUGUUACUUAGUUGAACGUGGGCUUCCAAUGUACCACACCUAUUGGGCCAUUUUGGUAGCAGAACUGGCAAUGCGGAUGAACCGAACGCGGGUUUAAGGGCCUAA
rnacentral:rRNA from 1 species